ACUCAAAGGAAUUGACGGGGGCCUGCACAAGCGGUGGAGUAUGUGGCUUAAUUCGAUGCAACGCGAAGAACCUUACCUGGCCUUGACAUGGAAGUGGUAGAAGGGUGAAAACCUGACGACCCCGCAAGGGGAGCUUUCACAGGUGCUGCAUGGCUGUCGUCAGCUCGUGUCGUGAGAUGUUGGGUUAAGUCCCGCAACGAGCGCAACCCCCGUGUCCUGUUGCCACUCCUGCGAAAGCAGGAAGCACUCUGGACAGACUGCCUCGCUUAAACGAGGAGGAAGGUGGGGAUGACGUCAAGUCAGUAUGGCCCUUACGGCCAGGGCUGCACACGUACUACAAUGCCCGGCACAAUGGGAAGCAAGACCGCAAGGUGGAGCAAACCCCAAAAGCCGGGCCCAGUUCAGAUUGUCGGCUGCAACUCGCCGACAUGAAGUUGGAAUCGCUAGUAAUGGCGCAUCAGCUACGGCGCCGUGAAUACGUUCCCAGGCCUUGCACACACCGCCCGU
rnacentral:rRNA from 1 species